GACGAACGCUGGCGGCGUGCCUAAUACAUGCAAGUCGAACGCACAGUUUAUACCGUAGCUUGCUACACCAUAGACUGUGAGUUGCGAACGGGUGAGUAACGCGUAGGUAACCUGCCUGGUAGCGGGGGAUAACUAUUGGAAACGAUAGCUAAUACCGCAUAAUAUUGAUUAUUGCAUGAUAAUUAAUUGAAAGGUGCAAUUGCACCACUACCAGAUGGACCUGCGUUGUAUUAGCUAGUAGGUGAGGUAACGGCUCACCUAGGCGACGAUACAUAGCCGACCUGGGAGGGUGAUCGGCCACACUGGGACUGAGACACGGCCCAGACCCCUACGGGAGGCAGCAGUAGGGAAUCUUCGGCAAUGGACGAAAGUCUGACCGAGCAACGCCGCGUGAGUGAAGAAGGUUUUCGGAUCGUAAAGCUCUGUUGUAAGAGAAGAACGGGUGUGAGAGUGGAAAGUUCACACUGUGACGGUAUCUUACCAGAAAGAGACGGCUAACUACGUG
rnacentral:rRNA from 1 species